ensembl:lncRNA
AAGAAUAACACGGCUGAUCUAUACCCCAGUGUGUCAGAACAUAAAGAAUAACACGGCUGAUCUAUAUCUCUAGCUGCCGCAUUGUAAAGGAUCACACUCAAGGCAUAUUUUAUCACUUGACUGACAAGCAGUGAAAUAGACAUGAUAUAUGGAUAUAUUAAGUGCCAUAAUUCAUAAACAUUGGGUUAUAAAAAUGAAGGCACAGCUGAAAUAUAAAUAUAUAAGAGUGCAAUUGGGUUAGAUUAAUCAGGAUUAGGACGGAUGAGAAGGACGGGGGAAUAUUUGUUUAACUUGGGUGGUUGUUGGCUAUUCAUGUGAGAAGUGACAAAUGAGGAUUCUGGAGUUAUGAAGAGUUACAGUUUGGUCUGAUGAAGAGGAACACUGAUUUUCUGCGGUUUUAUUGAAGGAGAAAGUUAGUGUGUAGCAGUAUGUGCAUGUUUUUUUGCCAAUGUUUGUGUUUGUGUACGUCGACUUUGACAGGUGAAGCGAUUGAACACAAACUCCAGUCGACCACUACUGAAGGGCAGGAAAGGAAGGAUGAAAAAAGAGGGGUAACAAAAAAAGCAAAAAGGAGUGACUUUGGCAGGAGGUCACAGCAGGCCCCGCGGGCCAUUUGCUCCAAAGAGUGCUCCCAGAGGUCCGUGUGGAGGCUAGAAGUCGUGCCCUGUCCCGGCCGCUCCAGAGUUAUUGAUAAACGUUUAUUGUGCGGCGUGCUGCUAAACAACAGACAUCCUAUAAGGGCUUUAUUCUGGACUUCAGCCUCAAAUCCUCACAUGUUUGUCCACUUCCACUUCCUGGUCCAGUUGUCACAAUGGGCCCCUGGUGGACCAACUUUCCCAUACUUUCCAUUUGGGUCACUGGGGACGGCAGGAGUGGUGGGCGGUGUGCUGCAAGGAAGGAAACAAACUGAUGAUGAAAGCCCUUACAGGGAUGCCCCUAACCCUAACCCUUACAGGGAUGCCCCUAACCCUAACCCUAACCCUUACAGGGAUGCACAGUGGCAAUAGCCUGUUUUAAUUUUAUAGCAGUUUGAAUGUAACAUGGAGAUGUACCAUCCUGGAUCUUAUCUGUCCAACCUCUCUCCUGGAGAUGUACGGUCCUGGAUGUUUUCUGUCCAACCUCUCUCCUGGAGAUGUACCGUCCUGGAUGUUUUCUGUCCAGCCUCUCUCCUGGAGAUGUACCAUCCUGGAUCUUAUCUGUCCAACCUCUCUCCUGGGGAUGUACCGUCCUGGAUGUUUUCUGUCCAGCCUAUCUCCUGGAGAUGUACCGUCCUGGAUGUUUUCUGUCUAAACUCUCUCCUGGUGAUUCCCCAAUAUUCAAAACAAUUAAAUUAAGGUUGGAAAAUGUACAGGACUGUAGCGCUUCAGUGUUGGAAAGCCAUGUUCAAAAUAGAUGCUUUUGGUCACCAAGGUACAUCUUCAGACAUUAUUUUAUUUGUUUUCUAACUAGUUUCACCACUGUGUCCUCCUUAUCCAAUGUAUACAACUUUGAUGCUGGACAACUCCUGCCACCUCCCACUAGUGCAGCAAAAUCUC